rnacentral:rRNA from 1 species
ACGAAGGGGGCUAGCGUUGUUCGGAAUUACUGGGCGUAAAGCGCACGUAGGCUGACUUUUAAGUCAGGGGUGAAAUCCCGGGGCUCAACCUCGGAACUGCCUUUGAUACUGGAAGUCUUGAGUCCGAGAGAGGUGAGUGGAACUCCGAGUGUAGAGGUGAAAUUCGUAGAUAUUCGGAAGAACACCAGUGGCGAAGGCGGCUCACUGGCUCGGUACUGACGCUGAGGUGCGAAAGCGUGGGGAGCAAACAG